CUGAUUAGUUCCAGUUAGAAGUAUAGUAGCUGGACAGGAACCCGAUAUCUUGCACGAAUCAUCAGGCAAGUCCCCAUAUGAAAUAAAAUCAGUUUGUACAGCACGAUCCGUUGAUUCUGGUAUCUGUAACAAGGGUGGCCACUCCAGUGGCCUAGGAAUUGAACAGCUGAUGGCUUGGUUCAAAUCUGAGUAUUCGAUACCACAUACUUGUUCACAUGUGCCAUCACCAUUUUGGUCAAUACAUUUGCAGCCACAAUUGUUUGAUGGUUUAUCUAACUCAUUGUUGACCAAAACUUGAAUGAGAA
rnacentral:misc_RNA from 1 species